GGUGCGACGGCUUCAGCUACGACUUCAACUAUGGAUAUGCCUUCAACCAUGGAGAAGGCUUCAGUCUGAGCAAAGAAGGAGGCGGCAGCUUGAAAAUUGGAGGAGACAGUGGCUAUGGCUUUGACGAAGGCCAUUGAACAACAGCACUUAUUGAUGACGAUAAAAUCAUCGAGUAAUUGAAUUUACAGCUGCAGCGAAAAUGGAAACGUGGAAACAGCUGCU